rnacentral:rRNA from 1 species
ACGNGCGAGUUAAAGAAUNCCAAACACUGGNGCAGGUCGGUUAUAAAAAGACCUAAACAACCUUAGAGCCUGGGUCAGUAUUUAACAANGAAAAAGACAAAACCAACACAAGCAAAAACAAAAAAGAUGCAAUGAGUCACAUCAAAAAAAAAAAACAAUAAACAACACGACAAAAACAACACAAAAACACGAAACAACAAAAAAAAAGAAAAAAANAACAAAAACGAACAUCAACAAAAACAAACAAAAACAAACAGAAAACAACAACAAAAACAAAAAAACAAA